rnacentral:lncRNA from 1 species
CUCGCACUCGCCCUGAAGAGUGUGUCAUCAGGCCGGUGCAACCUGUGCCGGGCCAACGCAUCAGGCCUCCAGUGCGCCUCCCCAGUCCGUUGAUCAGGCUGUUGAUUGAUUGUGGCCUGUGGAACGUUGUCCCACUCUUCUUCAAUGGCUGUGCGAAGUUGCUGGAUAUUGACGGGAAUUGGAACACGCUGUCGUACACAGCGAUCCAGAGCAUCCCAAACAUGGUCAAUGGGUGACAUGUCUGCUUAUGUCUACCCAUACCAUAACCCCAACCCCACCAUGGGGAACUCUGUUCACAACGUUGACAUCAGUAAACAUUUGCCCACACGACGCCAUGGUAGAGGAGUGGGACAACAUUCCACAGGCCACAAUCAACAAACAGCCUGAUCAACUCUAUGAAAAGGAGAUGUGUCGUGCUGUCUGCUAUCUGCCCUGUACAGAUGAAACCGAGAUUCAUCCAUGAAGAGCACACUUCUACCGCAUGCCAGCGGCCAUCAAAGGUGAGCAUUUGCCCACUGAAGUCGGUUACAAUGCCGAACUACGGUCAGGUCAAGAUCUGGUGAGGAUGACAAGCAUGCAGAUGAGCUUCCCUGAGACGGUUUCUGACAGUUUGUGCAGACAAUCUUUGGUUGUGCAAACCCACAGUUUCAUCAGCUGUCUGGGUGGCUGGUCUCAGAGAAUCCCGCAAGUGAAGAAGCCGGAUGUGGAUGGUUACACGUGGACAUACUGCCAAAUUCUCUAAAACAAUGUUGGAGGCAGCUUAUGGUAGAGAAAUUAACAUUAAAUAUCUGGCAACAGCUCUGGUGGACAUUCUUGCAGUCAGUUUGCCAAUUGCACGCUCCCUCAACUUGAGACAUCUGUGGCAAUGUUUUGUGUUUACAGAACUACACAUAUUUUAUUGUCCCCAGCACAAGGUGCACCUGUGUAAUGAUCAUGCUGUUUAUUCAGCUUCUUGAUAUGCCACAGCUGUUAGGUGGAUGGAUUAUCUUGGCAAAGAAGAAAUGCUCACUAACAGGGAUGUAAACAAAUUUGUACACAACAUUUGAGAGCAAUAAGCUUUUUGUACAUAUGGAACAUUUCUG